GUAGGUCCCGAGCGUUAUCCGGAUUUACUGGGCGUAAAGCGUGUUCAGGCGGUCUAGCAAGUCGGGCAUGAAAUCUCUCGGCUCAACCGGGAGGGGUUGUCCGAUACUGCUGGGCUUGAGGGCAGCAGAGGGUGGUGGAAUUCCGGGUGUAGUGGUGAAAUGCGUAGAUAUCCGGAGGAACACCAGUGGCGAAGGCGGCCACCUGGGCUGUACCUGACGCUCAGACACGAAAGCUAGGGGAGCGAACGGGAUUAGAAACCCCGGUAGUCCUAGCCGUAAACGAUGUUGACUAGGUGUCGACGGUCUAAACCCCGCCGGUGCCGGAGCUAACGCACGAAGUCAACCGCCUGGGGACUACGGCCGCAAGGUUA
rnacentral:rRNA from 1 species